rnacentral:rRNA from 1 species
ACGUAGGGGGCAAGCGUUAUCCGGAUUUACUGGGUGUAAAGGGAGCGUAGACGGCACGGCAAGCCAGAUGUGAAAGCCCGGGGCUCAACCCCGGGACUGCAUUUGGAACUGCUGAGCUAGAGUGUCGGAGAGGCAAGUGGAAUUUCUAGUGUAGCGGUGAAAUGCGUAGAUAUUAGGAGGAACACCAGUGGCGAAGGCGGCUUGCUGGACGAUGACUGACGUUGAGGCUCGAAAGCGUGGGGAGCAAACAG